rnacentral:rRNA from 1 species
UACGUAGGGUGCAAGCGUUAAUCGGAAUUACUGGGCGUAAAGCGUGCGCAGGCGGUUGUGCAAGACCGAUGUGAAAUCCCCGGGCUUAACCUGGGAAUGGCAUUGGUGACUGCACGGCUAGAGUGUGUCAGAGGGGGGUAGAAUUCCACGUGUAGCAGUGAAAUGCGUAGAGAUGUGGAGGAAUACCGAUGGCGAAGGCAGCCCCCUGGGAUAACACUGACGUUCAUGCACGAAAGCGUGGGGAGCAAACAGG